CAGUAGCCGCGGGAAUACGUAGGUGGCAAGCGUUGUCCGGAAUUAUUGGGCGUAAAGGGCUCGCAGGCGGUUUCUUAAGUCUGAUGUGAAAGCCCCGGGCUCAACCGGGGAGGGUCAUUGGAAACUGGGAAACUUGAGUGCAGAAGAGGAGAGUGGGAUUCCACGUGUAGCGGUGAAAUGCGUAGAGAUGUGGAGGAACACCAGUGGCGAAGGCGACUCUCUGGUCUGUAACUAACGCUGAGGAGCGAAAGCGUGGGGAGCGAACAGGAUUAGAUACCCCUGUAGUCCCUGUCUCUUAUAA
rnacentral:rRNA from 1 species